rnacentral:rRNA from 1 species
CUCUUUUUGAUUAUAAUUUAAAGUUGGGCCUGCCCACUGAAUUUUGAAGGGCCGCAGUAUUUUGACUGUGCAAAGGUAGCAUAAUCAUUAGUUUUUUAAUUGAAAGCUUGUAUGAAUGGUUUGAUGAAAAAGUUUCUGUUUCAAUUUUAAUUUAUAGAAUUUUAUUUUUAAGUUAAAAAGCUUAAAUAAAUUUUAAAGACGAGAAGACCCUAUAGAGUUUAACUAAUAUAUAAUUUUAAAAUUUAAGAAUUUUAUAUUUUUAAUUUGUAUAAAGUUUUGUUGGGGUGACAAAAAAAUUAAGUUAACUUUUUUUUUAUUUUUACAAUAAUAUUUGAUUUCUUGAUCCAUAAAAAUGAUUAAAAGAAUAAAUUACCUUAGGGAUAACAGCGUAAUCUUUUUUGAAAGUUCUUAUUGAAAAAAGGGGUUGCGACCUCGAUGUUGGAUUAAAAUUAAUAUUUGGCGAAGAAGCUAAACUAUUGGGUCUGUUCGACCUUUAAAAUUUUACAUGAUCUGAGUUUAAACCGGUGUGAGCCAGGUUGGUUUCUAUCUUAAAAGAAAAGAAAUAUUUUAGUACGAAAGGAUUAAAUAUUUUAUUUAUAAUAUUAAUUUUGAAUAAAAUUUUUAUUUUGGCAGAAUAGUGCAAAGGAUUUAGAAUCUUUUUAUGUAGUUAAUUACAAAUAAAAAUUGAAUUAUUUUUAAUAUUUUUGAAUUUUUUAAUUUUAUUUGUUGGGGUUUUGGUUGGGGUAGCUUUUUUAACUUUAUUGGAACGAAAACUUUU